GGGCGCCGGGGCCGGGCGCGGGCGGCGGGCGGAGAGCCUGGCGGGCGAGGGCGCCGCGGAGCUGGAGCAGCGGCGGCGGGCGGCGGGCCGGGGCGCCGGGGCCGGGCGCGGGCGGCGGGCCGGGGCGCCGGGGCCGGGCGCGGGCGGCGGGCCGGGGCGCCGGGGCCGGGCGCGGGCGGCGGGUGCGGGGCGCCCGGCUGGCGCUCACUCCCCCGUCCGGGGGCGGGGGCCCCGGGGGGGGGGGCGAGGGGCGGGGCGGGGCGGGGGAGGGAGGCUGGGCUCGGGCCGGUUUCUUUCCCCCCCCACCCCGGGGGUGUUUGUUGCUUGGAUUGUUUGGUCGCAAACGGGCGGUGAUGAGACACGGGGUCCCGGCCCCCAGAUUGUGAUGUCUCAGGGGGCGGGGGGCGGGGCGACGCCGCGAAGCAGCGGGGGGGGGGGGGGGGCGGGGUGAGCCCGCGGGUCCCAGCGCCUGGUCCGCGGGAGGGCCCGCCCCCUGCCACCCGGCCCCCGGCCCCUCCACGCACCCCUGUCCCGGGGACGGCCAGGCAGACAGCCCUCCACCCCAGGUCCCCGGCCUCCGCACAAUUCAGAGGCCACCUCUGCGGAGGGGAGGGCCGUGCGAGGCCGUGCGCCCCCGCGGGCACCUGGGGGGAACGGUGCCAGGGCCCCAUCGGGGACCCAACGUCAAAGCCAGAUGAGCUGACCAGACAGGGGGGAAGUUUAACCAGAGGAUGCACCGAAAUGCAAUGUCAAGGCAGAAGACCAGCAAAUUCUUUUUUAACCUCUCAAGACCCUUCCCAAGAGUCCCCAGCCUGUCCCAGCUCUCCUCAUCUGCGGCUCUGGAAGCCCAGUGGAGGCCCACGGAGCCAAUGGGCACUCACGGGUGCCUGGGCGCAUGCCUCCCGGAUUCGAGGAAAAGUACUCUGCCUGAAGGCCUGGCUUCCCGGGAGUUUCCAGAAACUGAUUUUCUAGAAAUUGCCCAAUGCCGCUAG
rnacentral:lncRNA from 1 species